GACGAACGCUGGCGGCGUGCUUAACACAUGCAAGUCGAACGAAGAGCGAUGGAAGCUUGCUUCUAUCAAUCUUAGUGGCGAACGGGUGAGUAACGCGUAAUCAACCUGCCCUUCAGAGGGGGACAACAGUUGGAAACGACUGCUAAUACCGCAUACGAUCUAAUCUCGGCAUCGAGGAUAGAUGAAAGGUGGCCUCUACAUGUAUGCUAUCCCUGCAGGAGUGGAUUGCGUCUGAUUAGCUAGUUGGAGGGGUAACGGCCCACCAAGGCGAUGAUCAGUAGCCGGUCUGAGAGGAUGAACGGCCACAUUGGGACUGAGACACGGCCCAGACUCCUACGGGAGGCAGCAGUGGGGAAUCUUCCGCAAUGGACGAAAGUCUGACGGAGCAACGCCGCGUGAGUGAUGACGGCCUUCGGGUUGUAAAGCUCUGUUAAUCGGGACGAAAGGCCUUCUUGCGAAUAGUGAGAAGGAUUGACGGUACCGGAAUAGAAAGCCACGGCUAACUACGUG
rnacentral:rRNA from 1 species